UCCUUGAGAGUCCUGAAGGAACGUUAAAGACGAUGACGUUGAUAGGUCGGGUGUGUAAGCGUAGCGAUACGUUGAGCUAACCGAUACUAAUGAACCGUGAGGCUUAACCUU
rnacentral:rRNA from 3 species